GAGGCGAACCGGGGGAACUGAAACAUCUAAGUACCCCGAGGAAAAGAAAUCAACCGAGAUUCCGAAAGUAGCGGCGAGCGAAAUUGGACUAGCCCUUAAGCUUUACACGCGUUAGACGAACGGUCUGGAAAGUCCGACGAUACAGGGUGAUAGUCCCGUAGUUGACGACGUGUGUUCAGUGAAAUCGAGUAGGGCGGGACACGUGAUAUCCUGUCUGAAUAUGGGGGGACCAUCCUCCAAGGCUAAAUACUACUGACUGACCGAUAGUGAACCAGUACCGUGAGGGAAAGGCGAAAAGAACCCCUGUGAGGGGAGUGAAAUAGAACCUGAAACCGUGUACGUACAAGCAGUAGGAGC
rnacentral:rRNA from 1 species